rnacentral:rRNA from 1 species
AUGGAUGCUCCUGAUUCCGACCUCCACAUGGAGAUGGAGGAUCCUGAUCUUGAGGCGGCCAUGGGUUUUCCGGUUACUGCUUCGCUGGGCCCUGUUGGUCCCCUCCUCCGGCAACUCCGUGAGCUGACCACUCUACACAACGUGGUUAGCGGGGAUGAGAUUCAGGGGCUCACUGAGCAUCUCCAUGGAUUAUGCGUCUCCCUCAUGCAUCAGUCGGAGGCAGAGGCGGAGGAACCUCUGAACUCCACGGCCAAGUGCUGGAUGAGAGAGGUCCGCGAGCUAUGCUAUGACACCAACAACUACUUGAACGAUGCCCCAUUUAUUUCCAAACAAGACGAUGAUCAUGGCCUCACUCCACAAGAGAAGCAAGAAAAUGCCCAGUUUGAAUUCAAGAUGCUCGUGGCCCGAGCCAAGAGUGCAAGCAAAAGGCGUCAGAGGUGCGAAAUCAAUCACAAGAGCAUCAGCAAGACCACUAAACUUUCAUACACGGGUCGAGGGCUUCCAGUUCUCCAUCCGGAACUGAUUGAUCGUGGUCGAAUGGAUGAGCUUGCUGACAUGCUGGGUAAGGACGAGGAGAAGCAGCUCAAGGUUGUAUCUCUUGUUGGACUUGAGGGUGUGGGUAAGACCACACUUGCCAAGAGGGUAUACCACAAGACCGUUGGGCAAUUCCAGUGCCGGGCUUUUGUGCGGGUGUCUCCCAACCCGGACAUGAGGAGGCUUCUAACCAACAUAUUAUGGCAGAUUCAAUUGCCCGCCUUUCCUUCUUCUUCUUCUUCUUUUUCUGAGGGUGUCACUCAGCCUGCUUCCUGCUUGGAUGCACAGGACCUCAUCACUAAUAUCCAAGAUUAUCUGCGGCAUAAAAGCUCGUUCAGAGGACCAGAGGAAAGCUCGUACUGUCAUUCAUAUAUGACCCUAAAAUCAAAAUCUUCGGAGACUACGAGACCGACGCUGCUGCUGCCCAGUUCGACUACGGAGUUGACGACCCCUCUCUCUUGCCAGAGCAACCAGAUGCUGGAGCCCUGGAGCCAGACGCCACCUUCGACGACGACUACUACACUGGAGGUGCCUACUACUACGUGCAGCCCAUUGCCGACGACCAAGAGUAGUUAG